rnacentral:lncRNA from 1 species
CUCCUCCAAAAGUUCCCGCUACAGGGGGAUCAGGAUGUCGAACAGCUUAUUGUACUCUCUCGAUCUUUAGUCAGGACCACAUCAUUUCUGUUCGAGAACAGACUGAGAGUGGUCCAUCGUCAAUCGAAGUCCCAGGGGUGGUCGGCGACUAUAUAAAAGAAUUUAUUCUUCUAACCAUGGAUGGAAGAGAAAAGUCUGAUGAUAAACUAACAUUUAGGUCAAAGACGAAGAGCCACUAUCCUCAUUUUCGAGGAUGUUUC